rnacentral:rRNA from 1 species
UACGAAGGGGGCUAGCGUUGCUCGGAAUUACUGGGCGUAAAGGGCGCGUAGGCGGGUCGUUUAGUUAGAGGUGAAAGCCCAGGGCUCAACCCUGGAAUUGCCUUUAAUACUGGCGGCCUUGAGUAUGGCAGAGGUGUGUGGAACUCCGAGUGUAGAGGUGAAAUUCGUAGAUAUUCGGAAGAACACCAGUGGCGAAGGCGACACACUGGGCCAUUACUGACGCUGAGGCGGCGAAAAGCGUGGGGAGCCAAACAGGGAUUAAGAAAACCCUAGU